UACGGGGGGGGGGCAAGCGUUGUUCGGAAUUACUGGGCGUAAAGAGCUCGUAGGUGGUUUGUCGCGUUGUUCGUGAAAACUCACAGCUCAACUGUGGGCGUGCGGGCGAUACGGGCAGACUGGAGUACUGCAGGGGAGACUGGAAUUCCUGGUGUAGCGGUGGAAUGCGCAGAUAGUCAGGAGGAACACCGGUGGCGAAGGCGGGUCUCUGGGCAGUGAACUGACGCUGAGGAGCGAAAGCGUGGGGAGCGAACAGGAUUAGACGUACCCCGUGUAGUCCGAGAC
rnacentral:rRNA from 1 species